CACUAUUUAAUGUAUAAAUAAAAGUUAAGAACAAAAAAUAGUAAACAAAAUCAUUUUCUUGCAUGUAAAGUUUAUAUCCCAUCAAUAUUCCUUCCACCUCCCGUUGUUAAUCAUCAGAUGGAAUGGUUGCUACCCAUAUUGUAUGCUACAACGAUCAACCACUGCAGUAAUUACUCGACCAGUUUUUACGUAUUGUAUGAAAGCCGAACCUUUUCCGCUGAUGUCAAAACCUUUUUGUCAUAGACUAUACAUAACUGACAUCAUUCCAUCUUGCUCCCAUCUUUCAAUAAUAACAAGACCAAAACUAAUAGCAUUUCCAGACCUAUCAUUACAAUUUAUGAUAAAAAAAAUAGAAAUUUGAAUUCAUAUUAUAUCAAUUCUGAAAAUUCACCCAAACCUCACUUACAAGGAGACUACACGACUCGUGACUCAUUGAUUUUGACGAAAAAAUUUGUAUGUGCAGAACUU
rnacentral:lncRNA from 1 species